AAUAUUGUUGUUUAAUAAACAGUCUCGGGGGAGGGGGGAUAAAGCACAACGCACAGAGGAAGAGGGGGGACAUAUUUAUCUGCUACACAAGGAGGAAGUCCCUACUGAGGGACAGGAAGUACUACGAUCCAUCCAGAUCAGGAUCCAAGUCUACGGUACAAAACCUUAGCAGCAACACGUUAAACAUCGUCAUAGUAACAUCGGGUGGCUAACAAAGUAGUUUCAUUUAGAAAAAAGUCACAGUUUUAUUUUUAAGCAGAAAUUGGUUAAAAAGUUAUAAACGGUUCUAGGAUCAGGUGGUGUAAUCUACACUAUCAACAUGUCUAGGAUCAGGUGUUGUAAUCUACACCAUCAACAUGUCUAGGAUCAGGUGGUGAUGUAAUCUACACUAUCAACAUGUCUAGGAUCAGGUGUUGUAAUCUACACCAUCAACAUGUCUAGGAUCAGGUGGUGAUGUAAUCUACACUAUCAACAUGUCUAGGAUCAGGUGGUGUAAUCUAAACCAUCAACAUGUCUAGGAUCAGGUGGUGUAAUCUACACUAUCAACAUGUCUAGGAUCAGGUGGUGAUGUAAUCUACACUAUCAACAUGUCUAGGAUCAGGUGGUGUAAUCUACACUAUCAACAUGUCUAGGAUCAGGUGGUGUAAUCUACAUCAUCAACAUGUCUAGGAUCAGGUGGUGAUGUAAUCUACACUAUCAACAUGUCUAGGAUCAGGUGGUGAUGUAAUCUACACUAUCAACAUGUCUAGGAUCAGGUGGUGAUGUAAUCUAAACCAUCAACAUGUCUAGGAUCAGGUGGUGGUGUAAUCUAAACCAUCAACAUGUCUAGGAUCAGGUGGUGUAAUCUAAACCAUCAACAUGUCUAGGAUCAGGUGGUGUAAUCUACACUAUCAACAUGUCUAGGAUCAGGUGGUGAUGUAAUCUAAACCAUCAACAUGUCUAGGAUCAGGUGGUGGUGUAAUCUACACUAUCAACAUGUCUAGGAUCAGGUGAUGUAAUCUACACUAUCAACAUGUCUAGGAUCAGGUGGUGAUGUAAUCUACACCAUCAACAUGUCUAGGAUCAGGUGGUGGUGUAAUCUACACUAUCAACAUGUCUAGGAUCAGGUGGUGAUGUAAUCUACACUAUCAACAUGUCUAGGAUCAGGUGAUGUAAUCUAAACCAUCAACAUGUCUAGGAUCAGGUGGUGUAAUCUACACUAUCAACAUGUCUAGGAUCAGGUGGUGUAAUCUACACCAUCAACAUGUCUAGGAUCAGGUGGUGAUGUAAUCUACACUAUCAACAUGUCUAGGAUCAGGUGGUGAUGUAAUCUACACUAUCAACAUGUCUAGGAUCAGGUGGUGGUGUAAUCUACACUAUCAACAUGUCUAGGAUCAGGUGGUGUAAUCUACACUAUCAACAUGUCUAGGAUCAGGUGGUGUAAUCUACACUAUCAACAUGUCUAGGAUCAGGUGGUGUUGUAAUCUACACUAUCAACAUGUCUAGGAUCAGGUGGUGUAAUCUACACUAUCAACAUGUCUAGGAUCAGGUGGUGAUGUAAUCUACACUAUCAACAUGUCUAGGAUCAGGUGGUGGUGUAAUCUACACUAUCAACAUGUCUAGGAUCAGGUGGUGAUGUAAUCUACACCAUCAACAUGUCUAGGAUCAGGUGGUGUUGUAAUCUACACUAUCAACAUGUCUAGGAUCAGGUGGUGUAGUAAUCUACACUAUCAACAUGUCUAGGAUCAGGUGUUGUAAUCUACACUAUCAACAUGUCUAGGAUCAGGUGAUGUAAUCUACACCAUCAACAUGUCUAGGAUCAGGUGGUGUUGUAAUCUACACUAUCAACAUGUCUAGGAUCAGGUGGUGUAAUCUACACCAUCAACAUGUCUAGGAUCAGGUGAUGUAAUCUACACCAUCAACAUGUCUAGGAUCAGGUGGUGUUGUAAUCUACACUAUCAACAUGUCUAGGAUCAGGUGGUGUAAUCUACACCAUCAACAUGUCUAGGAUCAGGUGAUGUAAUCUACACUAUCAACAUGUCUAGGAUCAGGUGGUGAUGUAAUCUACACUAUCAACAUGUCUAGGAUCAGGUGUUGUAAUCUACACUAUCAACAUGUCUAGGAUCAGGUGAUGUAAUCUACACCAUCAACAUGUCUAGGAUCAGGUGGUGAUGUAAUCUACACUAUCAACAUGUCUAGGAUCAGGUGGUGAUGUAAUCUACACCAUCAACAUGUCUAGGAUCAGGUGAUGAUGUAAUCUACUAUCUAAUGAACGUCAGAUAAAGGAACUAUACACUUCUUAUUACUCUUCAUCAUCAUCAUCAUCAUCAUGGCACAAUACAAAGUCUGAGAAAACAUGGCCACAGAAAUACACAACAAUGUCCUCAAUCACAAUGUCACAUUUGUUUUGAAGAUUGUAACUAAGUCUUCUGGCCAAACAAAACAAUUAAUUAAAACACGAUAGUUUUACCCAGUGGUCAAAACAACAUCAAAGACUUCUCCA